rnacentral:rRNA from 1 species
UGCCAGCAGCCGCGGUAAUACGGAGGGUGCGAGCGUUAAUCGGAAUUACUGGGCGUAAAGCGUGCGUAGGCGGUUUGUUAAGCAAGAUGUGAAAGCCCCGGGCUCAACCUGGGAACUGCAUUUUGAACUGGCAGGCUAGAGUUUUGUAGAGGGUGGUGGAAUUUCCAGUGUAGCGGUGAAAUGCGUAGAGAUUGGAAGGAACAUCAGUGGCGAAGGCGGCCACCUGGACAAAAACUGACGCUGAGGCACGAAAGCGUGGGGAGCAAACAGGAUUAGAUA